rnacentral:rRNA from 1 species
UACGGAGGGUACAAGCGUUAUCCGGAUUCACUGGGUUUAAAGGGUGCGUAGGUGGGCAGUUAAGUCAGUGGUGAAAUCUCCGGGCUCAACCCGGAAACUGCCAUUGAUACUAUCUGUCUUGAAUAUCGUGGAGGUAAGCGGAAUAUGUCAUGUAGCGGUGAAAUGCUUAGAUAUGACAUAGAACACCAAUUGCGAAGGCAGCUUACUACCCGAAUAUUGACACUGAGGCACGAAAGCGUGGGGAUCAAACAGG